ACACACACACACACAUACCCCUCAGGUGAGACAGAACACACACACACACAUACCCCUCAGGUGAGACAGAACACACACACAUACCCCUCAGGUGAGACAGAACACACACACACACAGACCCCUCAGGUGAGACAGAACACACACACACACAUACCCCUCAGGUGAGACAGAACACACACACAUACCCCUCAGGUGAGACAGAACACACACACACAUACCCCUCAGGUGAGACAGAACACACACAUACCCCUCAGGUGAGACAGAACACACACACACAUACCCCUCAGGUGAGACAGAACACACACA